AUUGAACGCUGGCGGCAGGCCUAACACAUGCAAGUCGAGCGGAUGAAGGAAGCUUGCUUCCCGAUUCAGCGGCGGACGGGUGAGUAAUGCCUAGGAAUCUGCCUAUUAGUGGGGGAUAACUCGGGGAAACUCGGGCUAAUACCGCAUACGUCCUACGGGAGAAAGUGGGGGAUCUUCGGACCUCACGCUAAUAGAUGAGCCUAGGUCGGAUUAGCUAGUUGGUGAGGUAACGGCUCACCAAGGCGACGAUCCGUAGCUGGUCUGAGAGGAUGAUCAGCCACACUGGAACUGAGACACGGUCCAGACUCCUACGGGAGGCAGCAGUGGGGAAUAUUGGACAAUGGGCGAAAGCCUGAUCCAGCCAUGCCGCGUGUGUGAAGAAGGUCUUCGGAUUGUAAAGCACUUUAAGUUGGGAGGAAGGUCUGUAAGCUAAUAUCUUGCAGUCUUGACGUUACCAACAGAAUAAGCACCGGCUAACUCUGUGCCAGCCGCCGCGGUAA
rnacentral:rRNA from 1 species